rnacentral:rRNA from 1 species
AUUGAACGCUGGCGGCAGGCCUAACACAUGCAAGUCGAGCGGAUGAAGGGAGCUUGCUCCUGGAUUCAGCGGCGGACGGGUGAGUAAUGCCUAGGAAUCUGCCUGGUAGUGGGGGAUAACGUCCGGAAACGGGCGCUAAUACCGCAUACGUCCUGAGGGAGAAAGUGGGGGAUCUUCGGACCUCACGCUAUCAGAUGAGCCUAGGUCGGAUUAGCUAGUUGGUGGGGUAAAGGCCUACCAAGGCGACGAUCCGUAACUGGUCUGAGAGGAUGAUCAGUCACACUGGAACUGAGACACGGUCCGAACUCCUACGGGAGGCAGCAGUGGGGAAUAUUGGACAAUGGGCGAAAGCCUGAUCCAGCAAUGCCGCGUGUGUGAAGAAGGUCUUCGGAUUGUAAAGCACUUUAAGUUGGGAGGAAGGGCAGUAAGUUAAUACCUUGCUGUUUUGACGGUACCAACAGAAUAAGCACCGGCUAACUUCGUG